rnacentral:rRNA from 1 species
GCAGAGCAUCCUACGGGAGGCAGCAGUGGGGAAUAUUGCACAAUGGGCGCAAGCCUGAUGCAGCCAUGCCGCGUGUAUGAAGAAGGCCUUCGGGUUGUAAAGUACUUUCAGCAGUGAGGAAGGUGGGUAUGUUAAUAGCAUACUCAUUUGACGUUAGCUGCAGAAGAAGCACCGGCUAACUCCGUGCCAGCAGCCGCGGUAAUACGGAGGGUGCGAGCGUUAAUCGGAAUUACUGGGCGUAAAGCGCAUGCAGGUGGUUUGUUAAGUCAGAUGUGAAAGCCCGGGGCUCAACCUCGGAAUUGCAUUUGAAACUGGCAAACUAGAGUACUGUAGAGGGGGUAGAAUUUCAGGUGUAGCGGUGAAAUGCGUAGAGAUCUGAAGGAAUACCCGGUGGCGAAGGCGGCCCCCUGGACAGAUACUGACACUCAGAUGCGAAAGCGUGGGGAGCAAACAGGAUUAGAUACCAUGGUAG